AAAAAAAUGUGGAGAAAUUUAGAAAUGUAUAAUGGCAGGGAACUCCCGUAAGCAAAAUUUUAUUAAUAAUUAUUAUACUUAAAAAAAAAAAAAUCCUCAAAUUCUUACCCACCUGUUACAAAAAUAGUUAUUUCCUUCCUGCUACGUAGGGUUUGUCUCUGUUCCCUGGGGGACUUGCUAUAGAUCUCUACUGACCUUGUGAUGGGAUGCACAGUCUCCUGAUCUCGCUGUGGGAAACCUCUUAACGAAGCUUGCAUGCUAAUUACCCCUCAGCUGCAAGCACAGGCGUUUCAUCCUCUGCCUAGUGAAAGGGCUAACCCUCCUCGACACAUUCACUACACCAGUGAUUCUGGAGCAACAUCCUGACCCUUAAUACUGUCAGUUCCAAGCUGAGAAAUCCUUGAUAAGGUGAGCAGAUGUCACUGGAAUCGUUAGAUGACGUGCCUAGAGUUCUGCAAGACCAUUUGCUGAAGUUUUUUUUUUUUUAUGCACCAUUGAUUGACAGGAAAAAAAAAAAACCAAAAAAAAAAAAAUCCGUUUUUUUUCUCUUUGCUUUCCAAGUCUCUCUGUGCAAUGACUGACUCUUUGAUACUGUCACUUUUUUUAAAAGUAAACCAAACAAGCCCUCGUGUUUCAGCUCCAAGGGGGCUCCCGUCUGUUCUCGGCUCCCAGCCGUGGUGCUGUCAUAGGUUCAUGCGCAAGUGCUCUGGUCGUUUGGAGAUCAUGGGGAAAGCUUGUUUUUUGUAGGGCCCAGAGUUUGGCUGCCGGAUUGGAAGCGGUGCUGAAGCCUCUCCACACACUGUCACAUCCAUUUGUUCUAUCCCACUCGUCUCCAUCGGGUAUUCCACAGGUGGCUGAGCGGUCGAUGCGCCGGCAGAAGCACCUCUUCCCCAGAAUUCCCCGGGGGAAAACUUGACGGGGCUUUAAAACAAGAAACACACAGAUCAGAGCUGGAGAUACGGCACCGAGGGGGAUCUGUUACUCUGCAGGAAGCUCAAAUGCCUAUUGAGAAGCAUUUCUAAUUCUUCCUUCCACUUCCAGAAGUUUGAGAAAUUUCCACGGGGAGCUUCUACCACUGUCUCUUGUAAAGUACAUUCCUGUCAUCUGAGGAUGCAUUUCUAGUACCAAGAUAUUGCUGAAUCCUUCCAGUUUGCAAAUCUGAGCAAAGAGCACUGACUGCACUGACAUGAUUCUUUCUGGACUAACACGAUUCUUUAGCAGCACAAAGCUCUUAGGAUGUUCUGAAACAGUUCUAGAGGGAUGGUGAACCAAAGUCACCAGAGUGGGGCUGCAUCAGCACUAAAAAGCAGCAAAUUAGUACUUCCUGUGCUGCCAAACCCCACACAUUUGUCACGAUAACGUGGUUUGUAAAACAGGGUCGAUCCUGUAACUCGAACGAAGUGCUGGGCUGAGAAGCAAGGCUGCAUUCUGAAUUUCUACUUGUCAAAAGGUGUGUUACAAAAAAAAAAAAGGAAAGAAGGAAAAAGAAGGAAUAAAAGAGAGGUACCUGACUGGUGUCCUUGGGCUACCGAUGAACCUGCGAGGGGAGCGGAUUUUUGGUUCAAAAGAAAAUUUCUCUUUUACGCUUUCAAGUACUGAUGGAGCCACGUAGGUAAAACCCUGCAAGACAGCAAGGGAGGCAACAUUCACCCUGGGGAUCACUCUGCAGUGACCACAUGAAAACCUGAUGAUGAUCAGAAAAUUACAAAAGGAAGAGUAAAUGCAGACAUAGGAACUUCUACUCCUCGAAGCGAACAGUGGGACUUUGGGGAGUUCCCAACCUGAUGCUCCAACCCGGCUAUUUCUGCUCCCAGACUCCCACAGGCACACUCACUUUAAUUAAUUUUGCUCUAUGGACUGGACAUUGUUCCCCCUGCAUGACUGUGAAAGCAACCCCGUGGCCAGGGUUCAGAAUGCAGCUCUGAAUCACAGUGCUGACAUUCCACAAAGGAGGCACCGUUUGCUGGCUGGUGCAUAAAGAAAACGUCAGAGAUAGCAAAGUGUCCUCAGAGCCCUUCAACAUCUCCAACCUGUCACAGAGUUUGGGUCCAGUGAUGAGGGUUUGCUUUGAAUAUCAGGCAGGAUUCCAGAGAAUUAAUUUAGCUGCAGUGCCCCCCUGCUCCCAGUAAAAACCUCCCUCUCCAGCCAUUCCUCACUCACCAGAAAGACCUGGUUGGCACUUUCACUGAGAGUUGAGUCAUCUGGGCUAUCAACAGGUGUCUGACGUGUAAACUUUGAAUCAAACUGGCUCACAUCCUCUUCAGAUUGCUUUGCAAAAACAAAAUGGUUAAGGGUUUAUAUUACAGAUAUCAACCAGUGCAGCCUCUGGGUGGAGUUCAUUCCAUAGGUUUUUGGCAGAGCUCUGCUGGAGUAAAACCCUGGAGUGGUGUCGGAAUCCUGUCGCUGCCAGUGGGAGGUCACUAUGGGCACUGACACUGAGAAAUAAAGGCAAGGGGGAGGGGCAAAAAUUAUGGAUCAAAAAGGAACACAAAUUAAAAAGACGCCUUUAAAAAAAAAAUUAAAAAAAUCUCAAAUUACAAACAGAAACUUUCAGAAUGACAAUGCCAGUUUCUUGCCAAGUUCAGCCCUCGUCACAACCAGAACAGUUGCAACUCUCAGAAUUUGGAACCUCUCCAGAUAAUUUAAUCCCAUUUUUGCAGAUACAGAAGUGUUUACACUGUGAGGGAUGGAGGACAACUCUGGAAUAAGUGAUUAUGAAUAUUGUUUAAUUUGGCCACAGAACAACAGUAACUCCAAGUUUCCUUCUCUCAUUCUUUGUGGAAAUGCAACGGAUUCAUUUGUGUGAACCCUCAUGAAACAUUUGGAAAAAACCACCUGGUUUGUACAAGUAACUUUCAUAGCAUUGCUAAUAACAGAAAAACCCCAAAUCAUCUUCAAUAAUUCAUUCAGAAAUACCAGUCUUGAGUCUUUCUGAAUUUCAUUCAAAAGGGUGAAGGGAAAAAGGUCUGCAGUCCCCAUGCUGGAGCUGCUGGACAUCAGUGAUGCCUGAGCCAGUUUAAAGUGAGAUUUUUAGUAGUUGGGAACUAUGGGGGUGGCAAAAGCCACUGCUGCUGUAGCUAAUUGUACCCAGAGGGAAAAACAGACCUCAAAAUAUAAGAUGGGAUAAUAGAGAUUCAUUCAUCACAUCACUGGUUUGAGGUAAACUAUGACUGCUGCUCAGAAUGCACGAGAUGCACUGUAAAUGUUAAUAACCAAACACAGAAAAUGCUUAAUUAGGUGGCUUCAUUGACUUUUGCUUAGCAGCUAUUUCUCAUUUUAGUUGAAACUAAGUACUGACUGACUGUAGAGGGUUCAGAAGCAGAGAUUCAGAGUGAGCUGCACUUGCAAGUCUGUUUAACCUCCAGGUGAGAAGCAGGAGGAAUUCAAAGGGAAGCAGAUCAGGGGGCAGGGCAGAUCUGCCUCUGACCUGACAGCAGUGAAUCUGUCACCCAAGCUGUGACCUAAGUCCCAGGAAUCAGUGACACUCCAGUCUGUAAUCCCACAUCAAGACCUCUCCUAAAGGCACAGAGGGAGCAUCUCCCAGCACUCCCAGUACAUACCAAUAAGGGUUUAAAAGGAGGUUCCACCUUUCGUGCCAACAGCUCGUCCCAGUUGAUGUGUCUGAAGAAGGGGUGAGCCUGCAGGGUUACAACAGCACAGUCAGCACCUCCUCUGGGGCACAAACCACCCAAAUUUAACCACUAACAGGGGCUUCUCAGCCCCUUUCCCUGGUGGCUUUCCUUCCAAAAUCACAGCUGGGUUCAGUACAGUAUAUUCUACAUCAGAAGAGCUGAGAAUUGAUACCACACCUCCAAGUCAGACACCUCCUGUCCCUGCAAUGUUUUCCUUGAAAGGGUUAGAAAAAGUCAGUUCACAGGCAAAAUACCUCAACUUUUAAAGUUAGAUACCUAAAAACCAUGCCAAAACAUUGCAUUAAUGACAAGUUAUCAGAACUGGGAAAUGAGGAGGACUCUCUAAUAUGCUGUUAAUGGCACAACAAAAACAAAAGUCAAGCUGGAGGCAAUGGGGACUGAGCCUCUGCCUUAGUUUUUAGCUAACUUUUCCCUUGGAAUAGCUGCACUAAUGCUGGCAGGGUUUUCAUCAGCUGAGAGCAUCAUCACCCUUACAGGGCUGCACAAUUAGCAGUGUACAGCUGGUGGAAAAGAUCUGCUGGAAGGCAGAGCUAAAGAGCAGAAGUUAUCUUCCAAAUCUCCAAUUAUCCAGCAGGUAGGCAGCUGCUUUUGUGCAGCUUUAAAGCUUUCAGAUUUUGACCAGCUGUCACAUGUGGCAGCCUUUCUGCUCAUUACCCUUCAAGACAGACAGACAGACAGACUCUCCUGCCCUGAUAGACCCUCAGAGCUGUUUUCUCCUCAGUGAGGUAAUUUAAGAGUUCUUGAGUUAAGUGCAAGUUACCUGAACUUCUCCAGCAUCUCCAGGACCAGCUCCUAGACGUGAGGCAGCAUUUCUUUUUAGCAGCUUCAUGAGAAACAACAUCCAAAAAAGCAGAAUUAGUUGUGCUGUUAUGACUAGACUAGUCCUGACGUGAAUCAUCUCUUGAAUGAGCACCAUGCAGAAUGAAUACAGAAUGACCAGAAAAUCUGCAUUUGUUAGAAAACGACUGUAUUUCCAAGGAAAAUCACUUUCUGUACCACAGAAUACAAUACUGACUGCUUUAGUAAUAAAUCAAGCUUGGACUGAGCAGCCAUAGUGGUAUCCCUGUAUUUUUAUUUCCUCCAAAAUAUACAGCACUGACAGGCAUUAAAACUGUACCUUUUUAAGCAGAUCUCUGGCUUCUUGUGUGAGGUAGGGAGGCAAGUUGAGUUUACACUUGAGAAUCUUGUCAAUUGUCUUCUUUCUGUUCUCCCCAGUGAAAGGAGGCUGGAAAGCACCAUUGGAAGGGGAGGAAAAACAGGACUUGUUCAGAUCUCUUUUUUGUGCAUGCACAGCUCACUUCAGUCAUUCACAAAGCAGGAAAAGUUAAUGCAAACAGGACUUGAAAAUCACUCUUUGGAUAAAAGCAGCUCAAGGCUGUGGCGAACACAACUUAUUUCUUACUUGCAGUCUGCAUUAUAUAUAAAUUAUAUAUAAA